UCUGUAGCUCAGCUUGGUUAGAGCGUCUGUUUGUGGCACAGAAGGUCGCAGGUUCGAGUCCUGUUAG
rnacentral:tRNA from 1 species